rnacentral:miRNA from 1 species
ACUGAUAGAUGGUCUCGAAAAGCC